UCCGGGACGCUGGCGAGUGGCGAACGGGUGCGUAACGCGUGGAAACCUGCCCCGAGGUGUGGGACAACAGUUGGAAACGACUGCUAAUACCGCAUAAGCCUUACGAGGGAAAGGCGCAAGUCGCCUUGGGAGGGGUCCGCGUCGGAUUAGCUAGUUGGUGGGGUAAAGGCCUACCAAGGCGAUGAUCCGUAGCUGGUCUGAGAGGAUGAUCAGCCACACUGGGACUGAGACACGGCCCAGACUCCUACGGGAGGCAGCAGUGGGGAAUAUUGCGCAAUGGGAGAAAUCCUGACGCAGCGAUACCGCGUGGGUGAAGAAGGUCUUCGGAUUGUAAAGCCCUUUCAGCAGGAAAGAUGAUGACGGUACCUGCAGAAGAAGCCCCGGCUAACUCCGUGCCAGCAGCCGCGGUAAUACGGAGGGGGCGAGCGUUGUUCGGAAUGACUGGGCGUAAAGGGCGCGUAGGCUGCUCUGCAAG
rnacentral:rRNA from 1 species